GAAAAAGGAAAAAACAUCAUGAACAUCAAAUAACCAUAUAUAGACCACAAUAACAAAGGUUCACAUUAUAAAAUAAUCUCAAUCAAACACAGUUUAUUGAUAUAACAAAAUGCUAAACAAAAAAUGGCUUCUCUCAAAGUGAUUUUUUCAGUUUGCAGCAAGUGGUUCUUGGCCUUUACUCCUCCUUUUGCUGUGCCCAACAAUACCACAUGGGGAAUACCUCAUUAUCAUUCCUUUCCUUGAUGAACCUUCAACAGUAGAAGACGUGGUGUUGGACUGUGUCGAUGCUUCGUUUGCCUCCUUUCUUUGCAUCUUUUUUGGUCUCCUAAACCUCUUUGUGUAUAUCGGAUGUGUCAAUGGAUUUAGUCCAGAAUUUAGCCAUGUAUCU
rnacentral:lncRNA from 1 species